CCCUUAGAUGUUCUGGGCCGCACGCGCGCUACACUGAUGCAUUCAACGAGUCUAAAACCUGGUCUGAUAGGGCUGGGUAAUCUUUUGAAUGUGCAUCGUGAUUGGGAUAGGUGAUUGCAAUUUUUCAUCUUCAACGAGGAAUGCCUAGUAAACGCAAGUCAUCAGCUUGCAUUGAUUACGUCCCUGCCCUUUGUACACACCGCCCGUCGCUCCUACCGAUUGAAUGAUCCGAUGAAUAUCAUGGAUUGAGGAUGCAAGUAGGUUAGCCUAUCUUCAUCUUCGAGAAGUGAAGUAAAUCUUAUCAUUUAGAGGAAGGAGAAGUCGUAACA
rnacentral:rRNA from 1 species